GACGAACGCUGGCGGCGUGCCUAAUACAUGCAAGUAGAACGCUGAAGGAGGAGCUUGCUUCUCUGGAUGAGUUGCGAACGGGUGAGUAACGCGUAGGUAACCUGCCUGGUAGCGGGGGAUAACUAUUGGAAACGAUAGCUAAUACCGCAUAAGAGUAGAUGUUUCAUGACAUUUGCUUAAAAGGUUCAAUUGCAUCACUACCAGAUGGCCCUGCGUUGUAUUAGCUAGUUGGUGGGGUAACGGCUUACCAAGGCGACGAUACAUAGCCGACCUGAGAGGGUGAUAGGCAACACUGGGACUGAGACACGGCCCAGACUACUACGGGAGGCAGCAGUAGGGAAUCUUCGGCAAUGGACGGAAGUCUGAACGAGCAACGCCGCGUGAGUGAAGAAGGUUUUAGGAUCGUAAAGCUCUGUUGUAAGAGAAGAACGAGUGGGAGAGUGGAAAGUUCACACUGUGACGGUAUCUUACCAGAAAGGGACGGCUAACUACGUG
rnacentral:rRNA from 1 species